rnacentral:rRNA from 1 species
UACGUAUGGUGCAAGCGUUAUCCGGAUUUACUGGGCGUAAAGGGAGCGCAGGCGGUGCGCCAAGUCUGAUGUGAAACCCCGGGGCUCAACCCCGGGCAUGCAUUGGAAACUGGCGGGCUGGAGUGCCGGAGAGGUAAGCGGAAUUCCUAGUGUAGCGGUGAAAUGCGUAGAUAUUAGGAGGAACACCGGCGGCGAAGGCGGCCUGCUGGACCGUGACUGACGUUGAGGCUCGAAAGCGUGGGGAGCAAACAGG